CGAAAGCCUGACGGAGCAACGCCGCGUGAGGGAUGAAGGCCUCUGGGCUGUAAACCUCUUUUAUCAAGGAAGAAGAUCUGACGGUACUUGAUGAAUAAGCCACGGCUAAUUCCGUGCCAGCAGCCGCGGUAAUACGGGAGUGGCAAGCGUUAUCCGGAAUUAUUGGGCGUAAAGCGUCCGCAGGCGGUCUUGUAAGUCUGUCGUUAAAGCGUGGAGCUUAACUCCAUUUAAGCGAUGGAAACUGCAAGACUAGAGUGUGGUAGGGGCAGAGGGAAUUCCCGGUGUAGCGGUGAAAUGCGUAGAUAUCGGGAAGAACACCAGUGGCGAAGGCGCUCUGCUGGGCCAUAACUGACGCUCAUGGACGAAAGCCAGGGGAGCG
rnacentral:rRNA from 1 species